UUUGGGAUUUUCCCAGAUGACUUCAUAAUGACCACUCUAUUCCUACAAUCAUAAAAAUAACAACAAUCAAUAGCUAUUGGGUACAUGCCCUGGGUACAUGCCCUGUGUGAGGAACUGCACUAAGGCAUUUAUGUGCAAUCCCUUCUUUUAUCUCCACAGUAAUCGUGUGACGUGAGAAUUAACAUUAUUACCUCUGUUACAGAGAAGCUACCUGAGGACAAAGGAGGGUAAGCAAUUUGCCCAAGAUUUCAUUUCCAGGAAGUGUCAGAGGUAGGCUUCCAGCUCUCAUCUGCCUGUCCAUAAAGCUGGAGAUGGGAGCCCUGCACGCCCCUUCGUGUCAUGUUCUCCAGGGGCUGGGAUAAGGACCGCAAUGCCCUCACUCCCAGAGAGUGACUGCUUCUCUGCAGAGCGGACACCCUCGAACUGGCCGUUCCAGAAAGGAGAUCCUUCAGUGCCCUGAUACGAUGCUCAGAAUUGCUGCCACCAUUUUGUCACCAACCUGAGACAGAACCCAACUGAUGGUGGCAGAACAGAGAGCCAGAGAGAAACUGAUCCCGAACGCCAUUGUUGAACGGUGGAUCCCACGAGCUUUGGAUGGGCCCUGCCCCCUGGAAUUCCUGAUACGCGAGGAGAAGCAGUUUCCCUGAGGCAAAGCAGAUUUGUGGCUGAGCCAAGACUGAAAUGCAGGUCUCCAAUCUUCCUCGCCAGCGUCUCCCCACUAAACACAUCCCCCAACCUCAAGCAUAUACCAAGAAAUUGUCAAUAGGUCUGAACAGCCGAACAGUUUUCAAUAAAUAAACUUGAAAAGCACUGCAUUC